CAAUGGUAACCGAAACUAGUCCACCAACAGGUUCUUUUCUCUUCUGUUCUAUCGGCAAGGUAAGACAUCCACGACGAGGUUCUACCAUUUGUUUAUUCACUGUGUCGGUGAACAGCUUCGUCUGUAUACACAUACAAAAUGAGCUGUUGGUAAAACACAAAUUCUUACGAUUUAAAGAAAAAACAUACAAGAAAACUCGAAACUCCGGGAAGUCCAUUUGCAGGCAUCGAUUGGCUUCCACCGCUUCCGAAAGAAACCUCCACUCCUAGCUCCGGAGUGCAUUCAAAUGAAUAAAGUAGAGCUUGCCCAUCCAAGAUGGGCAUCAGGAGUAA
rnacentral:lncRNA from 1 species